GUAGCCAUCGGAUAAAGGUUAGCAACCAGUCAUUAGUUAGUCUCGGGCUUGUUAUGGUGAUGUAACAAGUUAAGUGUAGACAAACAAGGUACUAGGCCGCAAGCGAAUGCUGAAACUAUUAGCCACGAAAUGUUGAGUAAAAUGGAAAGGACGAUGAUUUUCGGGAAUUAGAAGUCAGAACAUAGAUAUUAGAUAUUGCUAGAAUAUAUAUGCUUUCCCGUGGUUCGAAGGUG
rnacentral:ncRNA from 1 species